AUUUAAGUGUGCUUUAGUUUAUAACAAAAGUUAUGGAGCAUAGUACAAGUAUUCCCAUACACUUCUGUACCUUUAACCAUCCCAUAGCUAUCUUUUUUCAUCUCUUUUUUCGAAGUGCAGCACUCCUCACGUAUUUGUUGUGCUCUAUUUUUACUAAUAAUUUUGUUCUUGUGUUUAUCUUCAUUGUAUUACUUUUAUCCUUUGACUUUUGGACUGUCAAAAACGUGACGGGCCGGUUGCUCGUGGGCCUUAGAUGGUGGAAUCACAUUAAUGAAGACGGUACUUCAAAGUGGAUUUUUGAAAGUAAAAAGGGAUCCUCCAGUAUUAAUCCUUUGGAAUCUGCUAUAUUUUGGUCUUCCUUGUAUUUAUAUCCUGUGCUGUGGAUUUUUUUUCUCAUCGUCGCUUUAUUAGGCUUAAAGUUAACGUGGAUGACUAUAAUUAUUGUCGCGCUUAUGCUUAACUUUGCUAACGUUAUUGGAUACAACAAGUGCCAGAGUGAUGCUAGAAAUCGACUUCAACAAUUUGGCGCUCGAUUGAUUUCUUGGAAUUUUUUACAUAAAGCAGCAAAUGCUAUAAGGAAUUUUUUUAUAACUGAAAAAACUGGUCAUAUGGAAGUUGCAUAGGG